rnacentral:lncRNA from 1 species
CCUGGGUUGUUCUGUUUUGCUUUCUGUAAAUGACCAGAAAUGGGAUGAGAGUUGGAAGUAAAUAGGGACAUUCCUGAGUGGCAGAAUCCCUGUUUGUGAAGGAGACUGACAUGCUUCAGGAAGGGAAUCAGGCUCAUGCUGGUUCUUAAAUGAUUAGUCAAAGGGACUGUGAAGCACGACUCUCACACUUCAGCCUGGCUCUGUGUGUCAGUGUCCCUGUCUUAAAAGAGAGGAGAAGGGGUUGGGGAUUUAGCUCAGUGGUAGAGCGCUUGCCUAGGAAGCGCAAGGCCCUGGGUUCGGUCCCCAGCUCCGAAAAGAAGAACCAAAAAAAAAAAAAAAAAAAAAAAGAGAGGAGAGGCAAAAACCCAAGAAGAAUGUACUGAAAGUUGAUACACACUGGUAAUGUCUUCCACAGUGAGGACCAGGCUGUAGCAGGAAGA